rnacentral:misc_RNA from 1 species
AAGUCGUAACAAGGUUUCCGUAGGUGAACCUGCGGAAGGAUCAUUAUUGAGAUAGUCAGAAGCCUAUUAGGUCACCCAAACGCUUGAAAUAUUAGCGGAAUGGCGAGUAUAAUCAAAUCCGGAAUCCGGCAAUUGGAACCCCGGUUUUUGGAAAUCCCAAAGGGGCAGCUAUCCACCCGUGUAUAUAUACUCUGUUGCUUUCCGGGCGUCAUACCCCGGAGAGAACCCAACUCUUGAAUUUUAUGGAACGUCUGAGUACUAUAUAAUAGUUAAAA